CGGCGGAACGAGACAAGGCAGAGUAGGAGCGUAAGCUUUGCCGAGAGUUGUCGUAGGGAUAGUCUGCCGUUGUCCGGCCAAUCCCUUAGGAAUUGUAGGACGACUUCGACGUCCCAUAAGCGAGAGUAUUUGGGUUGAGGGGGUCUCUGCAACCGAAUGCCCCUCAGGAGUCUGCAGACCAUGGGGUCUUUGCCUACAGGGAUUCCCAUGACCGGGUCGUGCGCCGCCGAAAUCGCGGAGCGGACAACGUUGAGAGAGCGAUAAGAAAGGCCUGCGGAAAAAAGAAAGGAAAGAAAAUUCAAAAUGGCCGUCACAGGGGCAGUAAAGGGAUCGAUGUUCCGUUCACUGCACCAAGAGGACCAGGAAGACCAAGCUGAUAGGUAACAUCGCCUGGUACCUGGAGCCCAUGAGUCCCAAAUGAGAUCUCUAGCUGCCUGCGAUAACUCGCUGGUUUGCCAGGCACCCCUGAACGAGUCCAAGCCACUAACACGAGACGGUCUUGUAGAACGAGAGGAUGAGGGUUGUCUUUCGGGUCCGUGAGGAGUGUUGGAUAGGAUGGUAUGAGGAGCGGAUCCAUGAAGGACGAUGCCAGGAGGUCCGGGAACCAGGGUUGGCUCUGCCAUAGGGGAGCUAUGAGGAGAAGAGACCCUCGUUGGGUCUUCA